rnacentral:rRNA from 1 species
UACAGAGGGUGCAAGCGUUAAUCGGACUGACUGGGCGUAAAGGGCACGUAGGCGGUAACAUAAGUUAGUUGUAAAAGACCAGAGCUUAACUUUGGGGUGUCAACUAAAACUGUGUUACUAGAGGAUAGUAGAGGUCAGAGGAAUUUCCGGAGUAGCGGUGAAAUGCGUAGAUAUCGGAAGGAACACCAGUGGCGAAGGCGACUGACUGGGCUAUUACUGACGCUGAGGUGCGAAAGCGUGGGGAGCAAACAGGAUUAGAUACCCCCGUA